AACGAACGCUGGCGGCAGGCCUAACACAUGCAAGUCGAGCGCGCCCUUCGGGGUGAGCGGCGGACGGGAGAGUAACGCGUGGGAACGUGCCCUUUUCUACGGAAUAGCCUCGGGAAACUGAGAGUAAUACCGUAUACGCCCUUUGGGGGAAAGAUUUAUCGGAAAAGGAUCGGCCCGCGUUGGAUUAGGUAGUUGGUGGGGUAAUGGCCUACCAAGCCGACGAUCCAUAGCUGGUUUGAGAGGAUGAUCAGCCACACUGGGACUGAGACACGGCCCAGACUCCUACGGGAGGCAGCAGUGGGGAAUCUUAGACAAUGGGGGCAACCCUGAUCUAGCCAUGCCGCGUGAGUGAUGAAGGCCUUAGGGUUGUAAAGCUCUUUCAGCUGGGAAGAUAAUGACGGUACCAGCAGAAGAAGCCCCGGCUAACUCCGUG
rnacentral:rRNA from 1 species